AUACGGAGGAUCCGAGCGUUAUCCGGAUUUAUUGGGUUUAAAGGGUGCGCUGGCGGCCAUUUAAGUCAGCGGUUAAAUCGUGGGGCUCAACCCCAUUCUGCCGUUGAUACUGGGUGGCUUGAUUGCGGUCGAGGUUGGCGGAAUUCGUUGUGUAGCGGUGAAAUGCAUAGAUAUGACGAAGAACACCGAUUGCGUAGGCAGCUGACCAGACCGCAAAUGACGCUCAUGCACGAAAGUGCGGGGAUCGAACAGGAUUAGAUACCCUGGUAGUCCGCACAGUAAACGAUGAAUACUUGUUUUCGGCGAUAUAAUGUCGGAGGCAAAGCGAAAGCGAUAAGUAUUCCACCUGGGGAGUACGCCGGCAACGGUGAAACUCAAAUGAAUUGACGGGG
rnacentral:rRNA from 1 species